UACAGAGGGUGCAAGCGUUGUUCGGAAUUAUUGGGCGUAAAGGGCGCGUAGGCGGUGCGGUAAGUCUGUAGUGAAAUCUCUGGGCUCAACUCAGAGUCUGCUGCAGAAACUGCCGUGCUUGAGUGUGGGAGAGGUGAGUGGAAUUCCCGGUGUAGCGGUGAAAUGCGUAGAUAUCAGGAGGAACACCUGCGGUGUAGACGGCUUUCUGGACCAUUGCUGACGCUGAGACACGAAAGCGUGGGUAGCAAACAGG
rnacentral:rRNA from 1 species